UUUACUCUUUCCCACUUUCCCCCCAAAACUUUUACUCCCCUCCCCUCCUAACCCCCCAAUCUACCCAAAAUUCAUUUCCCACCAAAAUUUUACUCUCCCAUUUACUUUUUCUCAAAAUUUUACUCCCAAAACCCUCAAAACCUUUUAUUUUUCCCCAAAAUUUUUACUCUCUCCCACUUUUUCCCUAAAACUUUUAUUCCCUUCUCAUCCCACCUCUCAUCUACCCCAAACCCUCCUCCCUCCAUUUUUUUUAAUAUUUUCCCUCCAAAAUUUUACUCCCCCUAUUUACUUUCCCUCAAACUUUUAUUCCUCAAAACUUUUUAUUUUCCCCCUAAACUUUUACUUCUCACCCUUUACUCUCAA
rnacentral:lncRNA from 1 species